rnacentral:lncRNA from 1 species
UUUUUUUCCUAAAGGCACUCUGCUGAGCCUUAUUCGAUUUUAUGACUCUCUUAGAUGUUUCUCAAAUUGUAGCUUGGGAAUAACGAUUGUCCCCAUUUUUCUAGUUGUUAUUAGAGCUGACACACUGAUAGUGCCUGAUGGGAAGGGAAUGGAGGGGCAGUUGCUUAGUCCAGUGGAGAAAUUAGACAAGUCCAGAGGUCACACCACUGUUGCUUGUCUUUGGGCCCGGUCAGUUGCAGCCGCAUUGCGGGCUGUACCCAACGGGUGGAACAAUGCAGUGAUUUGCCGAAGAGCUUUAUGGGCAUGACUUCAUACACUGUGCCGGGAUCCUUCACUUGCUGCUCUUAGAAAUAACUUCUCAGGCACUGAGUCGAGACACAGAAAACCUUCAUCAACAGCGGGCAAGACCAGGGAGGCCCUGAGGAGAGCCCCCAGAGUGUGAUGAGGGCAAACAGAGAUUGUGACAGGGUGGCGAGAAGUUUUUCUCAAACCAAAGCCCAUACAAAUGGCCGGGUGGAAACAUCACUAAAUAUUUAUAAGACCAAGCAAGCCUGUUGUGGUGGUGUUUAUAAUAAAAAAAAUGGUAACAGGCUAAAAGUCUCAAUAGGUGGAGUAAAUGAAGUACACCAUCCGUAGGAUAGAGUGUGUGCUAUGGAUCAAAGACGCUUGGAAAGAAACUGAUGUGAGAAAACGCUCAUGGAAGUAUCAUUCAUCAGUUUAUAGCACAUUUUUUCCAAUUUGUUAAAAUAUGGUCACAUGUGUAUGAAAAAAGGAAGGAUACAUAUUAAAAUUUUUGUCGUUUGUGCCGUGGAAUGGAUUCCGACUCCUAGCGGCCCUGCGUACAGCAGAGCGGAACCCUGCCGGGUGUUUCUGCGCCAUCCUCUCACCUUCCGGCACUGCAUCAGACAAUGCUCUGCUGCUAUUCACAGGGUUUUCAUGGUCAAAAUUUUUGGAAGUGCCUGGCCAGCUCCUUCUUCCUAGUCUGUCGGAGUCUGGAAGCUCUACUGAAGCCUGUCCACCAUGGGUGACCCUGCUGGUAUUUGAAAUCCCGGUGGCAGAGCUUUCAGCAACACACAGCUGCCGCAGUGUGACAACGACUGAUGGGUGGUGUGGUCCCUGAUGGGAGACAAACCUGGGCCGUGCAGUGAGAGCGCCACAUCUUAACCCAGACCACCAGGGCUGGCCACACAUCAAAAUAACAACAAUUAUAUCUAACUAGGAGAAUGACGGGUGAUUUUUAUUUUUCCCUUUGUUUUUUUCUAACUUUUCCAAAGUUUCUGCAAUAAACGCUUCUUAUUUGUAUAAUGGAGGGGUCAUUAAAUUCUUUUGAAAGAAUCAACCAGUCCAUCACCCAGGGAUUCAUUAUCUGAAAUGAAUGUUUUUCAAAACAUGGGGGGAAACAACUUCUCCCUUGUAGAUUCUGCUCUUGGUUUCUAAACCAUGAUUUUAUAGAAAAAGAACGUUUCAGUUUCAGAGGGCAGCAAGUAGUUAUGCAAUCUUGCACACGUCAUUAAGGAAUCUUCAAAUGGACUCACCACCCUCAGUGUGAUAGAAAAGACUCGGGCGUUCAAGUGCACCCGCCAGCACUCGGAACCUGGGCAAGCCCGUCUUCUCACAAUGUUUCCCCUCUAUAACAUGGAGAGCAAUAUUGCUUUUCUGUGUGUUAUUGGGUCCAGAAAACCCCACAUUCCCCGGAAGCAAGGUAGGGCCGUUCUCACAGAAGUACAGUCAAGGCUCUGUUUUCGACACAGGAUAUCUUUUACUAGAAGGCGGGAGAGGAAGCUGGUUCAGCUGGCUAAAUCCCUGCCAGGGAUGAACCACCAGAGCCCAGCCUGAGUCACUCAGUGAGUCACUCAGUGAGCCACUCAGUGAGUCACCGAAGCGGCCGGCUGAGGAGGCAGGCAGCACCCACAGACGGGAGCCCACCAGGGUCUGCGGCAGGAAGGCGGGGCGCCUACCACAGCAUGGCUUGCCAAGCAGCGCUGUCUCCAAACCCGGGCUCCGAACCUGCGAACCCCUGGCCGCUGAGAAGCGGAACGUGCGCACUUAACAGCUGCGCCACCGGCCGGCCCCUGGACUCUUCUGAUGACUUCUGCCUGCCUUUCUGAAAAUGCCCGUCCUGCCUUCCCCCGACUUUCCAGCCCCAGGCCCCCCAACACUCCCUGCCCCCAGAGCAGAUCCCACCCCUCCGACCUGACUUCUCGGAUACCUGAAACUGCCCAGAGACCCAUUAUUUUUCCGGGACGCUCCCAGGAAGAUAAAUUUGUCCGUUCUCCUUGAUGCGGAUGAAUUUCUCGUCUUCUUUCCCAGCGGGUUUUGGUUGAGAGACGUGAGAGAAGAGGGAAGCCCUAGGGCCCGGGCCCAGUGACGGCGCGCUGCAGACCUGGACAGGAGAAGGGGUUCAGAAAGGCGGGAUCAGCGUAGACUUUCGUUGCAUCAGGCCACACCUUCUGUCUGCGCUCACGCGUGUCUGCCCCUUAAGGACUCUGUCCUUCCCCUCCCGUCAGCCCUCAGGAGAAAGCCCCCGGCCCUGGCUUCAAACCCCUAUUAACUGCUGUUGGUCAGCACAGCACAAAGCCACCUUUGUGAGAGAGGUUAGGUUAGCUUCUCUUUACUGCUCUAGAAAUCUGGCUGCAGACAGAACUAGCGACCUGGGGCCGGUCCCUGGCACAGUCUCCGGGCGGUGUCCUAACUGGAACGCUGAACGAGUCCCCAGUGCCGGAGCCUUGCGGUGGCUGAAAAAUGACGCUUGCAUUCCCGUCAUCAACCAGAUGGCUCAUGUCGAGUGUCCUGAUUGUUUUGGGUAUUCUUUGUGUGCAACUUUGAGUCCCUGUCUCGUAUUUGGGUCAGAGCAACGGGAAGGACACAUGACUUGCUUUAAAAUUAGCCUCAAACUCAUUGCAUAACCGGUCUCGUUUUCACUAAAUGGAAUGGUUUCUUGAGAGGACAGCAUGGCAUUUGUAGUUAAGUCUGUCUGGUUGAGUUACCUUGGAGAACAUCGUUUCCAUCCACCAGGACUCAGUGUUUCCACCUGUGAAAUGGGGUAGCUUUUGUUUGAAAGAAAAUAAAUGAAGGGUAACAACAUAAAAGUAACCACCUCAUCCAGACCCCCUUCCCCCAGCCACACCACACACACACUCACACUCACACACUCACACACACACACACACACAGUUUUGGGGCUUGUCAGCAGAUGGACAACAAUCUCUUCUAGUCCCCAAAAGACAGGGCAAACAUAGAGCGGAAAGAAAUGCUUACUCCCUAAAUCACGCCAUCGUCAGAGCCCAGCGGCAUGUUCUGAUGGCUUAGUGAGCUCAGAGAAUAUAUUUUAAGUCUUAAGAAAACAAACUUUUCUGUCUGUUUUCUCCUGGGACCGGGACAUAGUCUUCAUACAAAUUCAAAAUCAACAAAAAGAAACUAACAAAAAACCCUCCUGACUGCUGUCCUUCUCCAAGAACAAAUGGUUUCUCCAGAUUUCUGAUUCAUCUUGGCAAUGUGUGCGAAUAAACCCGAAUGACCCCGAGGAUAAAUAGAUGCAAAGAACUAGGCGUGAUUGUGUAUGCCUAGAAUGUUUCUUUGUAACAGCAAACAGUGUUCCCAUGAUCGGUUGAGUUAGAAGAAUGGUCUGUUGUAAUUUAUAUCUCACUUCUGAGGUGGUGGUAAAUUGCCGAGGGUUAGAGCAGAGAGUGCUAAAAGAUGUGGGCCUCUUUUAAGUAGGGGGACAAAGAGGAGGUGACAUUCAGCUAGAAGCCACCAAGCACAGGGUAAAUCCAUCUUACAGCCGGCUGUGUCACCAGGCGAGGAGGCUUCCGGGUGCUCUAAGAUCUUUGCAGCAGACGGACCUGGGUUCAGAUCCCAGCUUCCUGGCCACGUGGCCUCGGGCCAGCUUCCUGCCUUUUAGAACCUCUCUCCGCUCCUCUGUAAAGUGAGGGUGAGAACAGUGCCUUGUGAGGCUUAAGUGAGAUGAUGCUUGUAGAGAGGGCUCAGCAGAGUGCCUGGUACACAAUCAGCCCUGACAAAUGCUGGACAUUGUGGGAAAUUGUACUUAGCCCUCAUCUCCUAGGGCUGCCAUGACGAAUUACCGCAAAUUUGGUAACUUAACACAACAGAAAUUUAUUCUCUUGCAGCUCUAGGGACCAGGAGUCUGAAAGCAAGGUGUUGGCAGCUCGGUGCUCCCCUGAGGGCUCUGGGGAGUAUCCUUCCCCACCUCUAGCAGCUUCCAGCGGCUGUGGGCAUUCCUUGGCUUGGGGCUGCAUGCAUCGCUCCAGUCUCUGCCUCCAAGUUCAUGCAGCCUUCUCCCCUUCUCCCUCUGUCUCUCUUCUAUUUGUCUCUUAGAAGGACACAUUAUUGUAUUUAGGGCCUACCUAGAUAAUCCAGAAUGAUCUUAUCUCGAGACCCCUAAUUUAACACAUCUGCAAAAAUAAGGUCACAUUCACGGGUUCUAGGGACUAGGAUGUGGGUAUAUCUGUUCGGGGACCACUAUUCAAUCCACUACAGUAAUAUUUAUAUGGUUAUUUAGCAAGAAGUGCAGUACUGGCCAUCACCCUGGGUGGGCGGGGUCCUGGGCCCAUCACUUUAGAAGGCCCUCUGUCACAUGGCACGGGCUCAGUGUAACCCCCAAUGCUGAACAUCUGCAGGUGACUGACACCCUCCAGGCCCCAAGGUAUCCCCUACAUCUUUUGCCCCGUGUUCUCCAAGCAGAAGGUAACCACGCCCAAAGCUGCAAAGGUUUGUAGAGUGUGCCACUGCUGACCUCAGAUCUGACGCUGCCUCGGAGAGCGAGGAAGAUGCUGGUGGUAGAAGCUCCUGGGAGAGAGGGAAGAUGACGUAGCUGUGCCAUCCUCCUCUCCAAGUGGCCCGCCUGCAACAGUCUCUGGUUUCUCUUCAUGUUCCAACGGAUGGUUCUGGAAUUAUUCGUGAAUUAGCACAAUAUCCACAACAGUUCACGGUACACUUAAAUGCAGAUGUAUGUAGGUGCACCAAUAAUAUGUGUGAAGCAUGAUAUCAACUCUUUACAACACUAUAUGGAUCUGUAUAUUUUUAAAUAUUGUUUUAAGAGAUUUUGAAAAUCAUGAAAUAAAUGAUGGUGAUUUAUAGGAUGAAAUUAAAACAUUUGUAACAGUGUCUGUGAUCAUGAAUAUAUCAGAUGCAACCCAAUUACAAUGUUGGUAUAUAAAACUCAUGAUCCAUUUCCAAAUCAAAGUAUUGCUUUAAGAAUUUUAUUGACGAUUUCAAUUGCUGCUGCCUCUGCAGAGCAAAAUUUCUCCACAUUGAAAAUUUAAAAAAACCCAAAGAUUCGAGAAAGGUCAUCUAGUGUGCAUUACUUUUAAUAGGACUCAAAUGAUGUGAAAAUAUUGAUUAUAACAACAUAAUUAGUGGUUUUGCUGAAAUGAAAAC